UAAAUUAAAACUUAAAUAAAGUAUUUCAUUUACAUUGAAAGGAAAUUAGAAUAAUUUAAUUAAUUUAA
rnacentral:tRNA from 1 species